CGCGUGUACUGGUCCGGCCGGGCCUUUCCCUCUGUGGAACCCCAUGCCCUUCACUGGGUGUGGCGGGGAAACAGGACUUUUACUGUGAAAAAAUUAGAGUGCUCCAGGCAGGCCUAUGCUCGAAUACAUUAGCAUGGAAUAAUAGAAUAGGACGUGUGGUUCUAUUUUGUUGGUUUCUAGGACCGCCGUAAUGAUUAAUAGGGACAGUCGGGGGCAUCAGUAUUCAAUUGUCAGAGGUGAAAUUCUUGGAUUUAUUGAAGACUAACUACUGCGAAAGCAUUUGCCAAGGAUGUUUUCAUUAAUCAGGAACGAAAGUUAGGGGAUCGAAGACGAUCAGAUACCGUCGUAGUCUUAACCAUAAACUAUGCCGACUAGGGAUCGGACGGUGUUAUAUUUUGACCCGUUCGGCACCUUACGAGAAAUCAAAGUGCUUGGGCUCCAGGGGGAGUAUGGUCGCAAGGCUGAAACUUAAAGAAAUUGACGGAAGGGCACCCACCAGGGGUGGAGCCUGCGGCUUAAUUUGACUCAACACGGGGAAACUCACCAGGUCCAGACACAAUGAGGAUUGACAGAUUGAGAGCUCUUUCUUGAUUUUGUGGGUGGUGGUGCAUGGCCGUUCUUAGUUGGUGGAGUGAUUUGUCUGCUUAAUUGCGAUAACGAACGAGACCUUAACCUGCUAAAUAGCCCGUAUUGCUUUGGCAGUACGCUGGCUUCUUAGAGGGACUAUCGG
rnacentral:rRNA from 1 species